rnacentral:rRNA from 1 species
UGCGUAGGCGGUUUGUUAAGUCUGUCGUGAAAGCCCCGGGCUCAACCUGGGAAUGGCGAUGGAUACUGGCGAGCUAGAGUACGGUAGAGGAGAGUGGAAUUCCCGGUGUAGCAGUGAAAUGCGUAGAGAUCGGGAGGAACAUCAGUUGCGAAGGCGGCUCUCUGGACCAGUACUGACGCUGAGGCAAGACGUGGGGAGGCAACA